GACGAACGCUGGCGGCGUGCCUAAUACAUGCAAGUCGAACGCAGUGGGGACGGGUGAGUAACACGUGGGUAACCUCCCAUCAGAGGGGAUAACACUUGGAAACAGGUGCUAAACCGAUACUGCUGGAUGGACCCUCGGUGCAUUAGCUGGUUGGUGAGGCAACGGCUCACCAAGGCCGCGAUGCAUAGCCGACCUAGACGGGUGAUGGGCGACGCUGGGACUGAGCCACGGCCCAGACUCCUACGGUAGGCAGCAGUAGGGAAUCAUCGGAAAUGGACGAAAGUCUGACCGAGCAACGCCGCGAGAGUAAAGAAGGUGUUCGGGUCGAAAAACGCUGAUGUUAGAGAAGCGGUAUCUAACCAGAGCGGCACGGCUAACUCCGUGCCAGCAGCCGCGGUAAUAC
rnacentral:rRNA from 1 species